rnacentral:rRNA from 1 species
AUUGAACGCUGGCGGCAUGCUUUACACAUGCAAGUCGGACGAGUGGCGAACGGGUGAGUAACGCCUCGGAACGUCCCGAGUAAUGGGGGAUAACUGUCCGAAAGGACAGCUAAUACCGCAUACUAUUCGAUCUGCCGAUGUGUGCUUAGCUGGUUGGCGGGGUAACGGCUCACCAAGGCGACGAUCCGUAGCGGGUCUGAGAGGAUGACCCGCCACACUGGGACUGAGACACGGCCCAGACUCCUACGGGAGGCAGCAGUGGGGAAUUUUGGACAAUGGGCGCAAGCCUGAUCCAGCCAUGCCGCGUGUCUGAAGAAGGCCUUCGGGUUGUAAAGGACUUUUGUCAGGGAAGCGGUACCUGAAGAAGAAGCACCGGCUAACUACGUGCCAGCAGCCGCGGUAAUUC